rnacentral:rRNA from 1 species
UCGAACGGGUAACAGGGUCUUCGGACGCUGACGAGUGGCGAACGGGUGAGUAAUACAUCGGAACGUGCCCAGUCGUGGGGGAUAACUACUCGAAAGAGUAGCUAAUACCGCAUACGAUCUGAGGAUGAAAGCGGGGGACCUUCGGGCCUCGCGCGAUUGGAGCGGCCGAUGGCAGAUUAGGUAGUUGGUGGGAUAAAAGCUUACCAAGCCGACGAUCUGUAGCUGGUCUGAGAGGACGACCAGCCACACUGGGACUGAGACACGGCCCAGACUCCUACGGGAGGCAGCAGUGGGGAAUUUUGGACAAUGGGCGAAAGCCUGAUCCAGCAAUGCCGCGUGCAGGAUGAAGGCCUUCGGGUUGUAAACUGCUUUUGUACGGAACGAAAAAGCUUCUCCUAAUACGAGAGGCCCAUGACGGUACCGUAAGAAUAAGCACCGGCUAACUACGUGCCAGCAGCCGCGGUAAU